UUGCUAUUAUGAUUAUCUUAAGACACCUUUGGAAAUAACCAUGGGAAAAAAAUGCAUUCUAAGCAAC
ensembl:snoRNA SNORD58 Small nucleolar RNA SNORD58